rnacentral:rRNA from 5 species
UUAAAUUGAAGAGUUUGAUCAUGGCUCAGAUUGAACGCUGGCGGCAGGCCUAACACAUGCAAGUCGAGCGGAAACGAGUUA